rnacentral:rRNA from 1 species
AUUGAACGCUGGCGGCAUGCCUUACACAUGCAAGUCGAACGGUAACAGGUCUUCGGAUGCUGACGAGUGGCGAACGGGUGAGUAAUGCAUCGGAACGUGCCCAGUAGUGGGGGAUAGCCCGGCGAAAGCCGGAUUAAUACCGCAUACGAGCUGAGGGUGAAAGGGGGGGAUCGCAAGACGUCUCGCUAUUUGAGCGGCGGGUGUCUGAUUAGCUAGUUGGUUGGGUAAAGGCCUACCAAGGCAACGAUCUGUAGAUGGGCUGAGAGGACGACCAGCCACACUGGGACUGAGACACGGCCCAGACUCCUACGGGAGGCAGCAGUGGGGAAUUUUAGACAAUGGGCGCAAGCCUGAUCCAGCAAUGCCGCGUGCAGGAAGAAGGCCUUCGGGUUGUAAACUGCUUUUGUCAGGGAAGAAAUCUUCUGGGUUAAUACCUCGGGAGGAUGACGGUACCUGAAGAAUAAGCACCGGCUAACUUCGUGCCAGCAGCCGCGGUAAAAC